rnacentral:rRNA from 1 species
CACGUAGGGGGCGAGCGUUGUCCGGAUUUAUUGGGCGUAAAGAGCUCGUAGGCGGCUCAGUAAGUCGGGUGUGAAAACUCCAGGCUCAACCUGGAGACGCCACCUGAUACUGCUGUGGCUAGAGUCCGGUAGGGGAGCAUGGAAUUCCUGGUGUAGCGGUGAAAUGCGCAGAUAUCAGGAGGAACACCAGUGGCGAAGGCGGCUCUCUGGGACGGUACUGACGCUGAGACGCGAAAGCGUGGGGAGCGAACAGG